UACGUAGGGUCCGAGCGUUGUCCGGAGUUACUGGGCGUAAAGGGCGCGCAGGCGGCGGUGCUGGCCCGGCGUGAAAGCCCCCGGCUCAACCGGGGAGGGUCGUCGGGGACCGCACCGCUUGAGGGCGGUAGGGGCCGGUGGAAUGCCUGGUGUAGUGGUGAAAUGCGUAGAGAUCAGGCGAACACCUGGGGCGAAGGCGGCCGGCUGGGCCGACCCUGACGCUGAGGCGCGAAGGCGUGGGGAGCGAACGGG
rnacentral:rRNA from 1 species